rnacentral:rRNA from 1 species
CAGCCGCCGCGGUAAUACCAGCUCUCCGAGUGGUGUGGACGUUUAUUGGGCCUAAAGCAUCCGUAGCUGGCUGAACAAGUCCCCUGUUAAACCCACCGAUUUAAUCGUUGGCGUGCGGGGGAUACUGCUUGGCUAGGGGACGAGAGAGGCAGACGGUAUUCCCGGGGUAGGGGUGAAAUCCUAUAAUCCCGAGAAGACCACCAGUGGCGAAGGCUGUCUGCUAAAACGCGCCCGACGGUGAGGGAUGAAAGCUGGGGGAGCGAACCGGAUUAGAUACCCGGGUAGUCCCAGCUGUAAACGAUGCAGACUAGGUGUUUGGACGGCCACGUGCCGUUCUAGUGCCGCAGGGAAGCUGUUAAGUCUGCCGCCUGGGGAGUACGAUCGCAAGGUUGAAACUUAAAGGAAUUGGCGGGGGAGCACA